rnacentral:lncRNA from 1 species
AUGGCUACCACCAUCAUGUACCAUGGAGUUGGGCUUCAUGGUUGCAGGGCUGGGGGAGGAGUCAGCUGCCCCAGUCGGCCUGGGCAGCUGCCACUGUGGGCCCUGUUCCUGCUGAGCAGUGACCGGAAGCUCACAAAUGUGCGCCCCUGCACCAGCAUCCAGCAAAUGGAGACAUCCAGGCUGCUGGCUUCUCCCUUAGGCGCUGCCCAGACAGGAGCUGGGGCCCCCUGCAGCUGCGCUCAUGGUCUCCUGGGUGGCACGUCCUGGAUAUGGCUCCAGACCAGAGUUACUGACCUUUUAACACAGCCAGAGUGCAGCUCAGUUCAGAGCACGCCUCAGAGGAACGGCGGGAGGGACAAUGUUCCCUGGGAACCUCUGCUGCCUGCUUCCCCUGCCCGGCCUCGGUUCUCGUGGGGUUUCAUUGUCUUGAGAGCCGUGAAACAGAAUUUAAAAAGUGACACACAAAGGCACUUCCAGAAGUUCCUGGAAGGAAGGGGUCUCCAGCCUGUGGUCAAGAUGUGUGAGUUGGGGCUGGUGCUGUGGUGGAGUGGGUAAAGCUGCCGCUGGCGUUGCCAGCAUCCCAUAUGGGUGCAGGUUCGAGUCCCAGCUGCUCCACUUCCCAUCCUGCUCUCUGCUACAGCCUGGGAAAGCAGUAGAAGAUGGCCCAAGUCCUUGGGUCCCUGUACCUAUGUGAAAGAAUCUGGAAGAAGCUCCUGGUUCCUGGCUUCGGAUCGGUGCAGCUCCAGCUAGUGCGGCCAACUGGGGAGUGAAGCAGCGGAUGGAAGACCUCUCUCUCUCUCUCUCUCUCUCUCUCUGCCUCUCCUUUCUCUCUGUGUAACUCUGACUUUCAAAUAAAUAAAUAAAUAAAUAAAUCUUUUAAAAAACC